GAGAACGCUGGCGGCGUGCUUAACACAUGCAAGUCGAACGAAAGGACGGGAAGAGCUUGCUCUUUCCGGAAUUGAGUGGCAAACGGGUGAGUAACGCGUGAGCAACCUGCCCUGGAGUGGGGGACAACAGUUGGAAACGACUGCUAAUACCGCAUAAGCGCACAGCUUCGCAUGAAGCAGUGUGAAAAACUCCGGUGGUACAAGAUGGACCCGCGUCUGAUUAGCUGGUUGGUGAGGUUAACGGCCCACCAAGGCGACGAUCAGUAGCCGGCCUGAGAGGGUGAACGGCCACAUUGGGACUGAGACACGGCCCAAACUCCUACGGGAGGCAGCAGUGGGGAAUAUUGCACAAUGGGGGAAACCCUGAUGCAGCAACGCCGCGUGAGUGAAGAAGUAUUUCGGUAUGUAAAGCUCUAUCAGCAGGGAAGAAAAUGACGGUACCUGACUAAGAAGCCCCGGCUAACUACGUG
rnacentral:rRNA from 1 species